rnacentral:misc_RNA from 1 species
GGAAGGAUUUAGAUAGUUUUGAAAGGGAAAAGGUUUAGAGAGAAAAUGAAAGAGAGAAAAGAAAAGGAAGGGAGAUGCAAAAGUACUGCUAGAUUCAAGCUAAUGAUCCUAGACACAAUUUGCAAUAAGAAAACUAAAAUUCCAGCGAAAGAAUUAAUAAAGGUAGAAAGUAGAGAGACAGAUAGAGAAAAGGGGUUCUUGGCAAAUUCCAGAAAUCGUCCUAAUCUGAGGA